rnacentral:rRNA from 1 species
AUGCUUCAACGUUGUGGGUGGCCAAACUGCAAUCUUUGACCACUAUGCAAACAGGUGUAGGAGUCGGCAGCCCACCUUCUAUUCCAAUGCCAAUACACUAUCAGAGUUUGGCGAAUGGUCAAAGAUUGGCUUGGUCUUCAUGAUGUGCAUCCUUCUGAUUGGAGUAGUGCGACUUACAUCAAAAAGUGGUGGAGCCACAAUGCUAACAAAAACACUCAAUCGCGAAGGCCACUUGCUUCCUUGAUGUUGCUCAUCUCUUGGGAGUUGUGGAAAGAGAGGAAUGCACGAAUCUUUCGUAACAAUGUCGUACCAGUGGGUGUCAUCGUCGCUAGGAUUAAAGAUGAGACCUCGCUUUGGAGCAUUACAGGGGCAAAGCACUUGAGUAAUGUAAUGCCGCGAUAG